UAUCGAAAAUACGUGUUUUCCAGGGGUCUUAGGUGACCCCUGUGAAAGGGUUGUUCGACCCCCAAAGGGGUCGCGACCCACAGGUUGAGAACCACUGCUCUAGAAAGAGUUACAUCUCUUGCAGG